rnacentral:rRNA from 1 species
AGUGAACGCUGGCGGUAGGCCUAACACAUGCAAGUCGAACGGCAGCACAGUAAGAGCUUGCUCUUACGGGUGGCGAGUGGCGGACGGGUGAGGAAUACAUCGGAAUCUACUUUUUCGUGGGGGAUAACGUAGGGAAACUUACGCUAAUACCGCAUACGACCUACGGGUGAAAGCAGGGGAUCUUCGGACCUUGUGCGAUUGAAUGAGCCGAUGUCGGAUUAGCUAGUUGGCGGGGUAAAGGCCCACCAAGGCGACGAUCCGUAGCUGGUCUGAGAGGAUGAUCAGCCACACUGGAACUGAGACACGGUCCAGACUCCUACGGGAGGCAGCAGUGGGGAAUAUUGGACAAUGGGCGCAAGCCUGGUCCAGCCAUACCGCGUGGGUGAAGGAGGCCUUCGGGUUGUAAAGCCCUUUUGUUGGGAAAGAAAAGCAGCAGGUUAAUACCCCGCUGUUCUGACGGUACCCAAAGAAUAAGCACCGGCUAACUUCGUG